CCUACGGGAGGCAGCAGUGAGGAAUAUUGGUCAAUGGGCGGAAGCCUGAACCAGCCAAGUCGCGUGAGGGAUGAAGGCCCUAAGGGUUGUAAACUUCUUUUAUAGGGGAAUAAAGGGCCGUACGUGUCCGGCUUUGAGUGUACCCUAUGAAUAAGCACCGGCUAACUCCGUGCCAGCAGCCGCGGUAAUACGGAGGAUGCGGGCGUUAUCCGGAUUUAUUGGGUUUAAAGGGAGCGUAGGCGGGACUUUAAGCCCGCGGUGAAAUUUCCGGGCUCAACCCCGGCCUUGCCGUGGGAACUGGUGGCCUUGAGUGCGCGGGAGGCAGGCGGAAUUCGUGGUGUAGCGGUGAAAUGCAUAGAUAUCACGCAGAACCCCGAUUGCGAAGGCAGCUUGCUGUACCGUAACUGACGCUGAGGCACGAAAGCGCGGGGAUCGAACAGGAUUAGAUACCCCAGUAGUC
rnacentral:rRNA from 1 species